rnacentral:snRNA from 1 species
AUACUUACAAGGCAGGGGAAAUACCAUGAUCACGAAGGUGGUUUUCCCAGGGUGAGGCUCAUCCAUUGCACUUCAGGUGUGCUGACCCCUGCGAUUUCCCCAAAUGCGGGAAAAUCUACUGCAUAAUUUGUGGUAGUGCACAGUGUUUGUGCUUUCC